GGAUUUGGAAGAGAACGCUGGUGGAGAAGAUGCACGCAAGGCCACCAAGCCAGCUGCAACAGCAGCAUGAGCAGCAGUUAAUUGGAGGAAACAAACCAAAUGGGAUAGCUGAUGAACGCGGCAAACAGUCGAACAAUGGAAGUACUUACAUUGUCAAGGCAGAAAUCGAUCAAGAGUAAAUUGACAGCAGCAGCAGCAUCAUCCAGGCAGCCAAACGUGCUCCCAAACCAGGCAGUUUACCUAAUAUUGACCAUCCAAUGUCACUGUAAAGACCUGAAAUACAUGCAAUGAUUUAACAUGAUAUUUUUGUGCAGAGCAAAGUAGCAUAUGGGCAUCAGAAAUAUGUUACUUUAGAAUGCAGAGCAAAGUAAACCUCUCAACUCCACUAGUUAUUAUUAUGAGUACAAUGAUCCCCUUUGAUACCAUCAUACAUGAAUUAGAAUCUCUAAAGUAUGUCAAUCAGGGAUGAUAAUAUGAAGCAGGCACAGCGACAGAAUGAAGUGAAAUCUUUAUGCAAGCCCAUGUACUUUGGUAUAAAGAAGCAUUGAAGCAAUUAAAAGCAAGCUUCUAGAUCUGUGUUUGGAUGACAAAAAAUUGUACAAGCUGAGUUAUUUGAUGAAAUAAUCCAAGCCUUUAGGCUCCUACUGGAUAUGCUCUUAAUGUAGACAGUGCGUAGAUCCACUAUGGACAGUUGGACACAAUCACAGUAAGAUCUUAUCUAUUGUAGAUGUAUUGUCUUUGUUAGGAUCACAAGCUAUAUGGAUCAUGAUGGACUGUUACUAAUAGCUGAAUGGCAAUCUAAGAAGUCAGACACUACCAGUUCUAGGCUGUCAACUCAGCAAGCAACAUCGCAAUCCUCUCAACACAACUAGUUAUUAUUAUGCAUUGGCAUCAAAGGGGAUCAAAGAUUUAAUCACUAAUCACAGAUCACGACAGAACAACCAAACGAAGGAAGAUCUCUACUCGUCUAGUAGCAAGCAGGCAAGCAACCAAACACCUGCAGGGCCCACGUCAGUUCCAUGGACGAACGCGUACCAAAUCUGAACUGCUGCUCGAGCCUGAGCCCGACGAGC
rnacentral:lncRNA from 1 species